AGUGAACGCUGGCGGUAGGCCUAACACAUGCAAGUCGAACGGCAGCACAGUAAGAGCUUGCUCUUACGGGUGGCGAGUGGCGGACGGGUGAGGAAUACAUCGGAAUCUACUUUUUCGUGGGGGAUAACGUAGGGAAACUUACGCUAAUACCGCAUACGACCUACGGGUGAAAGCAUGGGAUCUUCGGACCUUGCGCGAUUGAAUGAGCCGAUGUCGGAUUAGCGAGUUGGCGGGGUAAAGGCCCACCAAGGCGACGAUCCGUAGCUGGUCUGAGAGGAUGAUGAGAGACAGUGGAACUGAGACACGGUCCAGACUGCGACAGGAGGCAGCAGUGGGGAAUAUUGGACAAUGGGCGCAAGCCUGAUCCAGCAAUACCGCGUGGGUGAAGAAGGCCUUCGGGUUGUAAAACCCUUUUGUUGGGAAAGAAAAGCAGCAGGUUAAUAACCCGCUGUUCUGACGGUACCCAAAGAAUAAGCACCGGCUAACUUCGUG
rnacentral:rRNA from 1 species